CACCAACAGGACCCAUGCACUUGAUCUCUGCCUUGUCUCUAUGAGCAGGUACACUACGAGCACAAACACACUGAGCAAGAUACUGCCAACACCGCACUUUGAACUACUGGGUAAACGAAGAACAUGGGUGACACCGUAUUAAGAGGUGCAGACGUCAAGGUCCACACCUGAAUCAAUUGACGCACCUGAAGAAUGAACAUGGUGAGAAGUCUUGUUCAGAAGACUUAAAACAUUGAACCCUCGCCGAAAGGUAAAAUCGGUAGUUAUCCAUAUUUAUCCUUUCUGCAUUCCCUUUUCCCUUUAAUUAUUUACUUUCCUUAAAUGGCUUUUUAGUUAAUCAUGCUAUCUUGAAAAGAAAAUAAAAAUGUUAGUAAGCCCCAUAUGAGUAUGCUCCUGGCAUAAAACUCAUAAGUACAUUCACUGUGGUGGCGUAAAAAUAAAUAUAUUCCUGUCCUAUAGAAAUGAAAGUAUAAAAAUAAAUUUAUGAUCCUACCAAAGAGAGUAAUAUUUAUUAGAGGAAGCUCAACAUGAUAAAGGCUAAGUGAUGUUAUGCUAACACUUAACCAGUUCCACAAAGCUUUGUUGUCUAUUUGAGCUCCACAGAAUUCAAGGAUCAAAGAAGACUAGCAAACACAGGACAUCUAAUCGCUGUCAGGGUGCUGCCGACAUUCAAAUACACCUCCGUCACCUGCUAGCUACAUCAGAAGAAAUUACAUCAAAAUCUAGCUUGGGGGAGAGCACCCCCAUUUAUCUAGCUAAGUGUUUCUACUCGCGUUUAUACUUUACUCAAAUAAUAAAAAGAUGCAUAAUCAUAAAAACCCAAAAAAAGAUUUUGUGCUUAUAUAUAUCUAUGCUUAGUUUGCUAAAUAAAUAAAUAAAGUUUGCUAUGAACCCUCAUGAUAAGCUCUCACAUGGAAAUGAUGAAUAGUUGUUCUGCCAUGACUAGUUCUCAAAAGUGAAAUCUCUCUCAAGUUUAGGCAUGACUGUUAUGAAUUAAGAUUUGCUCUAAAACCUGAACUUGUGGGAAGAGUACCUGAUCAAAAGUCUAAGUCGUUAACAGAUAUGAUAUGGGAAGGUUGAGUUGCUAUUUAUCUGUUCCUAGAGAUGCUAGAAUUCUGGAGAAUUUUAUAUUUGAAAAUCUUUUAAAUGUUGCAUGAUGAGUUCCUGUAUGAUGAGAGUUUAAAAUCCUACCACAGCCACAUAUACAUGCUUAUGAGACUAUGAACCAUACAUUUACUUUUUACUGCUUAUGAGCAUUGAGUGUGGUCAAGCUAUGUAGACCCUUAGGAGCUUGUCAUAUGGUUAAAAUCAAGAUUCACUUGCACGUUCACUCAUACAUGCUGCUUCUACUCCAGAAGUACGCAUCCACAUACAUCCACUCCUUUCCAUCUCCAGAUUCACCUAAAAUUAUUCUACUCCUAUCCACGAGAGAAUAGCCAAAAACAUUAUCCUAUCCCUGUUAUUCCCCGUGAAAUAAAUGCUCUUGAUAUUUUGGUUACUACCACUUGCUACAUUAUUCUAGGAGGAUGAAUGCUCUGAAAAAAAGAAAAAAUACGAGGAAAUAAAAAGGGGCAAGUGCCCGGAACCUCGAAGAAAAGAAAAAGUGAGACGAGAGGUAAAAAUGGACAAGUGUCCGACAGUAGAAUUAGGGGUACACGAUACCCACCUGAGAGAAAGGAAAAAAAAGAAAAUAUAGAGCAUCUCAUUCCCCUCAAAAAGCUUCAAAGUGCAAGAAAGGUAUGUAUCCCCUCAAAAGAGCAAACGUAGAAUUAGACUUUCACCAUUGUUUUCAUCAUUAUCACCAUUAUCACCAUACACCAUUCAGUCGCCACACAUGCACAUCUUGAUUUGACUUAUUGACUUGUUUCUCUGGAUCCAUGGUUUGACUAUGCAAUAAAUGUCUUGUAAGUAUGUAUUAGCUGUCUCCCACCUAUGAGCUCCAGAUAUCAAAACCUUGUUAGAGUAGAGUGAGAGAGAAGGCAAUAUCACUGUGCCUCAUACCAAAAAUAUCACAUGCUUUGAGAGAAGGCAUAUAUCAUCACUGCCUUGGUAAGGAUCCAGAAAUACCACAAAAGAGAGACUAGAGAGAGUCAUACAAGGAAUCUCUGAGUUUUAUUUGAAAAUCUGCAAAAUACUCCAGAGCUAUAGUUGAUCAAAGAACAAGAGACAUGGUGCUUGACUUGACCGUUCUAUCUUUUAACUGCUCAAGACACAAGUGAUGGUUGCAAGCCCCAUGGUGAAAGGUAAUAUGAGUAAGUUUUAAAUCUUAACAGUUUACCUUAACCUAGAGAUGAGAUCUUGUUUAAACGCAUGUAUACCUUUAAGGCAUAAAACCACUGUAGAAACUCUUGAGUCCAUCCUUGCUCAGGGACGAGCAAGAGGUAAGCUUGGGGAGUUGUUGACGGUCCUUAAGUACCAAAUAUAAUCAUCAAAUAAAUAAAGAAAAGGAUCCAAAUGCAACCAACACCCAGACUUAGGGUUUUAUUUGACAGAAUUCCACGAGUUUUGGUGUUUGUCUAUUUCUGCAGGGGGUUAUCGGGAAAUAUGGAGAGAAGGCCCACACGUCGGGUUUACAUAGAGAUAUUAACGUGCCGCACAAUUUUCUAUCAUCUAGAAGACUCCAGAAGCCACGGGAACGAACGGGAGGCCGAGCGGGCUCGGGGGCAGGGCGCCCGCCCACCCCCCUUGGGCGCCCGCCCAGCUACAGAGUCCAAUCAGGACUCUCUUCGGGGAUUAUGCUCCACCGACCUAAAGGAUCAAGAAUAACCGUUCAAUCAAUGUCGGUUUGAUCCGACGGCCCAGGUUCACUUGAGGGGACUAUAUAACCAGACCCCCUGGCCCCUGGAGGAGGCACCCCUUGAUCAUUAUUCAUUAUUCAUAGACAGAGCAAAAGCUAGGGUUUAGAGAUGAGAGCUCUCCUCUCUUCUCUAAACUAGAGUAGAUCUAGAUAGUAGCGAGAUGGAGAGCGAAGGAGGAUUAGAGGAGAGGCCGGCCUGUCGGUUCUUCCUCCGGUUGUACUUCGUCAUGAUCAAGCUCUAAUCAAGCUUGCUCAUGGGAUGACUCUGGUAAUCUACUUCUAAUUCAUUAUGCAAUUACUAAUCAUGUAUGUUCUGGUUCACAAUUCUUUUGAGUACUUCUAAUCUAUAGGACCCUAUAGGUUAGAGUUGUAGUAUAGGUGUAAGCGUGGUGCUUAGACCUAGAUUACUUGUGGUUAUCCCGUGUCUAGCUGGAUCGAGUGGUAGGCCGCGUAGGUGACAGUUACGUUGGUCCUCUGUAGUCCACCUCUCGUUAGCAGGACAGGUAGGGUUUAUCGGCCUAUGGAUAAGCAUCCUUUGUGGUGUAAUCUUAUCACGUGGUUCGUCCCAGACAUAGACAUACCCCUUUAAAGUAGAGAAACCAUAAUUAUCCUCUCUAUUCUACUACCAUCGCCCAUAUACUAGAUUGCUCUACUCUCUAUUCCCAUAUUAUCACCCAUUGUUAUCUUACCUUUAAUAUUGUUCUUAUUCAAUUCUACCAUCUUUACUAUUUACACUUAUCUAUCUAUCUUGGUUAAGUUAGAGCGUAGUUGGUUCUCCCGUUUCCCUGUGGAUACGAUAAAACCUUUAACCGGGUAAAAGCUUCAAUGGUAUCCGUGCGCUUGCGGAUUAUCUGUGUGCGUAUAAAUACCAUAGUACACUCUAGUACCAUGCUGGGGAUGACAACCUAGUAUUCAAGUGGUGUUAGCAAGUGUCAACACUUAGUUACUUCC
rnacentral:lncRNA from 1 species